UACGGAGGGGGUUAGCGUUGUUCGGAAUUACUGGGCGUAAAGCGCGCGUAGGCGGAUUAGAAAGUUGGGGGUGAAAUCCCGGGGCUCAACCCCGGAACUGCCUCCAAAACUACUAGUCUAGAGUUCGAGAGAGGUGAGUGGAAUUCCGAGUGUAGAGGUGAAAUUCGUAGAUAUUCGGAGGAACACCAGUGGCGAAGGCGGCUCACUGGCUCGAUACUGACGCUGAGGUGCGAAAGUGUGGGGAGCAAACAGG
rnacentral:rRNA from 2 species